UCCACGCAUUAGUGGAAACCCGCCUUUAAUGAGGAAAUUCUUGAAAACGGAAAACGUUGAUGAAACGUUUAAUAACGGAGAAAUUCGGACUGUCUGUUAGCUAAACGAAGCUGCGAACGUGUUUGCAAACGCCAUGAUCCAGCGUGGCAGCGUUUUUCCUGUACACCUGUUUAGUUCUUUAGCUGGUUAAGUUCUUUAGAAGAACUAAAAGAGUACUAUUUGUUUUGAUAACCAAUAAAUUAUAUUUAUACUUUUAGAGAGGUUUCAUUAUGGGCCAUAACUACACAAGGAAUGUGACUGAAAAACAUAAAUCUAGUUUUACGAUUUAAACAUCUUAAAGAAUUGACAAUUUCAUUUUUUCCUGCUGAUGGAACCAAGAUGAUGUCAACGUGUAUUGAUAACAAAACAAGGAUAUUUAAUACAAAAAAAUUUAAUUCAGAUGCUACAAAUGAUCAUCACAAACAAAAUAUCAAAAUAUACUAAGAAGUAAGAACAGUAAUUUAAUGUUGAAUAAUCUUAUUUCAAUCAAUACAUUUUAUGUCAAUGGCCAAUGGGUCACCAUAACUGAGAACCCACAUACAUAAUUCCAUAUUUUAGACAGUAUUAUGAUCAUAGUUAACAAGCUAAAUGGAAUCCUGGAAGAAUUAUGCAUUCUUCAUUUCUUCAAUGCCAUUGCCAACAAGAGUAUUUUUAAUAAUUGA